GGACAGUUAAGUUGGUAGAGAAUGAGACUCUUAAUUUUAGGGUCAUGGAUUCGAGUCCCACAUUGGGCA